rnacentral:rRNA from 1 species
AUUGAACGCUGGCGGCAGGCUUAACACAUGCAAGUCGAGCGGGGGAGGUUGCUUCGGAAACUGACCUAGCGGCGGACGGGUGAGUAAUGCUUAGGAAUCUGCCUAUUAGUGGGGGACAACAUUCCGAAAGGAAUGCUAAUACCGCAUACGCCCUACGGGGGAAAGCAGGGGAUCUUCGGACCUGGCGCUAAUAGAUGAGCCUAAGUCGGAUUAGCUAGUUGGUGGGGUAAAGGCCUACCAAGGCGACGAUCUGUAGCGGGUCUGAGAGGAUGAUCCGCCACACUGGGACUGAGACACGGCCCAGACUCCUACGGGAGGCAGCAGUGGGGAAUAUUGGACAAUGGGCGGAAGCCUGAUCCAGCCAUGCCGCGUGUGUGAAGAAGGCCUUUUGGUUGUAAAGCACUUUAAGCGAGGAGGAGGCUCUUAAGGUUAAUACCCUUGAUGAGUGGACGUUACUCGCAGAAUAAGCACCGGCUAACUCUGUGCCAGCCGCCGCAGUAAAAC